rnacentral:lncRNA from 1 species
GCCCACAGUUAGGAUUUAUACAGAGGAGUACUCCAGAUGGGAAACUUGAAGCAUACUGCUUAAGCCAUUUCAUUCUAGCCGGACCAGACGAUUGCCAUUGGGAUGUAGCGUAUGGGAUAAGGAAGAUUAGGCCUGAGCUAACAUCUACCACCAAUCCUCCUCUCUUUGCUGAGGAACAUUGGACCUGAGCUAACACCCAGGAUCUGAACCGGUGGACCACAAGCCGCUGAAGCGGAACAUGCGAACUUAACCACUGCGCCAUCAGGCCGCCCCCUUACCUGUAUUUUC